rnacentral:rRNA from 1 species
GCAGUCGAGCGAACAGAUAAGGAGCUUGCUCCUUUGACGUUAGCGGCGGACGGGUGAGUAACACGUGGGUAACCUACCUAUAAGACUGGGAUAACUUCGGGAAACCGGAGCUAAUACCGGAUAACAUUUGGAACCGCAUGGUUCUAAAGUGAAAGAUGGUUUUGCUAUCACUUAUAGAUGGACCCGCGCCGUAUUAGCUAGUUGGUAAGGUAACGGCUUACCAAGGCAACGAUACGUAGCCGACCUGAGAGGGUGAUCGGCCACACUGGAACUGAGACACGGUCCAGACUCCUACGGGAGGCAGCAGUAGGGAAUCUUCCGCAAUGGGCGAAAGCCUGACGGAGCAACGCCGCGUGAGUGAUGAAGGGUUUCGGCUCGUAAAACUCUGUUAUUAGGGAAGAACAAAUGUGUAAGUAACUGUGCACGUCUUGACGGUACCUAAUCAGAAAGCCACGGCUAACUACGUGCCAGCAGCCGCGGUAAUACGUAGGUGGCAAGCGUUAUCCGGAAUUAUUGGGCGUAAAGCGCGCGUAGGCGGUUUCUUAAGUCUGAUGUGAAAGCCCACGGCUCAACCGUGGAGGGUCAUUGGAAACUGGGAAACUUGAGUGCAGAAGAGGAAAGUGGAAUUCCAUGUGUAGCGGUGAAAUGCGCAGAGAUAUGGAGGAACACCAGUGGCGAAGGCGACUUUCUGGUCUGUAACUGACGCUGAUGUGCGAAAGCGUGGGGAUCAAACAGGAUUAGAUACCCUGGUAGUCCACGCCGUAAACGAUGAGUGCUAAGUGUUAGGGGGUUUCCGCCCCUUAGUGCUGCAGCUAACGCAUUAAGCACUCCGCCUGGGGAGUACGACCGCAAGGUUGAAACUCAAAGGAAUUGACGGGGACCCGCACAAGCGGUGGAGCAUGUGGUUUAAUUCGAAGCAACGCGAAGAACCUUACCAAAUCUUGACAUCCUUUGAAAACUCUAGAGAUAGAGCCUUCCCCUUCGGGGGACAAAGUGACAGGUGGUGCAUGGUUGUCGUCAGCUCGUGUCGUGAGAUGUUGGGUUAAGUCCCGCAACGAGCGCAACCCUUAAGCUUAGUUGCCAUCAUUAAGUUGGGCACUCUAGGUUGACUGCCGGUGACAAACCGGAGGAAGGUGGGGAUGACGUCAAAUCAUCAUGCCCCUUAUGAUUUGGGCUACACACGUGCUACAAUGGACAAUACAAAGGGCAGCUAAACCGCGAGGUCAUGCAAAUCCCAUAAAGUUGUUCUCAGUUCGGAUUGUAGUCUGCAACUCGACUACAUGAAGCUGGAAUCGCUAGUAAUCGUAGAUCAGCAUGCUACGGUGAAUACGUUCCCGGGUCUUGUACACACCGCCCGUCACACCACGAGAGUUUGUAACACCCGAAGCCGGUGGAGUAACCAUU